rfam:Cavia porcellus supercont2_10 genomic scaffold, whole genome shotgun sequence.
AUACUUACCUGGCAGGGGAGAUACUAUGAACAUGUAAGUGGUUUUUGCCACUAUGCAUUGCACGUCAGAUGUGCUGACCCCUUGAUCUCCCUGAAUGUGGGAAACUCAACUGCAUAAUUUGUGCUAGUAGAAAACUGCAUUUGUACUCUAA